AGGGGUAAAGCUCAGUGGUAGAAUGCUUGCCUAGCAUGCAUGAGGUCCUGGGUUCAAUCCCCAGUAUCUCUA
rfam:Camelus ferus unplaced genomic scaffold scaffold1141, whole genome shotgun sequence.